GCUGUGUGGGCCGCUGUGGGGAGGUGUUCACCAGAGGCCAGCAGUGUACCUGUGACUUCAGCUGCCUCAGACACAACGAGUGCUGCCAGGACUUCCAGGCUGCCUGCACCACAGAUCAGUCCUGUCAGGGUCGCUGUGGGGAGACGUUCAGCCGCGGCCGGGUGUGUGAGUGUGAUGCACAGUGCAGCCAGUAUAGCACCUGUUGUCAUGACUACCAGCUACACUGCGAUGUCGGUGUCUCAGGCUCUCUCUCCAGGACGGCACAGCCUCUGAGAGCUGCUGCGACAGGAAAUCGGAGACCAGGUAGGGGGUGGGCAGACUCCAACAGUGAGAGUGAGGAAUGGUACUCAGCGAGGGGCCCCUGCUCCCGGUACCCCAGGGGUCAGUGUCCGGGGUCCAUCAGACAGCUGACUGCCAGCUCCUCUGGCCGAGCUCCUGCUGCACCGACCAAUCAACCACA